ACUUUUUCACAUUUUCUCCCAUAAGAGAUGUUACUCCUUACCUCUAUCCUCCAUACUUGAUAAUAAACUAAGAUCGAGCAUAUACUAUUCGAUUCAUAAGAUAGAAAUCAUAUAUUUUAUUAACGAUUUAUAAAACAUUUGCAGAAAGUAAGAUCCAAUGAAAAUGCUUAUAUGAACAUUUGUGAAUGACCAAUCAAAUCUUGAAAUCAAUGACCAAUCAAAUAUAACCUUUCCUAAAUUGUCCAGAAAACAUAGUUGGUAAUAGUUGAUAAAGUCAUGUUUAAAUUAUAUCCAAAUAAUAUUGUAAUUAUUAAAAUUAAUAGCUACGAAGAAUUAACUAAACGAAUAAAUAGUUUUCUGUCAAAGUUUAAACAAGUUUUAUCAGAGGAAAUAAACAAUGAAGUCAUAGAACUAUUUGGACAAUAACAGAUCAAUAAAAAAGAAGAUAAUACUUCGAUAUAUAACUGUUAACAAAUGCAUUCACAUGAAAAUAUGACGAAUAAUUGACUUACGAUAACAAAAAGUCGAGCUUACAUUUAAACUUCGUGGAUUUUCAACAAAUGGGAAGAUGGAUCAAUUGGCCGCGCUUAAAAUUGAAAAAGAAAAGUUAAUGAAUAAAAAGAAAAGAAGAAAUCGUUUAGAUUCUUUGUUUGUACAAAACAUGCUGCGUACGUAAAGAUCACACGAUAAGAAAGUCGUAUGACGUCGUAUAUAUACUCAUACGUAUGGCAAUAUAUACACAUGUCACAUGAUAUAAGUAUGUGUCAUAAUAACAUAUAAUUUAUAAACGAUUGUAUCAUCUCAGUAUCGGCUUCUUCGUCAGAAAAUAUUUUAUCAAGAUAUUGCAACCUUUUAUAUACAAAUAUUGUAUUUGUCAUCUCGUUAUUAUCAUCGUCAUCAUCAUCAUCGUUAAAUACAAUCCUUUGAUUCAUCCCUUCAUUAAUACGAGCGAAUUGAAAUUCUUAAAGACGCCCACUCUAUUAGGACGGCGUAAAAGUAAGAUUCGAUCAACAAAGCGUAACAAGCGCGCUAGCGAUACCAUAUUUGAUCAAAAACCGCGUUCAACAUUUCGCACAUGGGGCUCCCUUUUACUACGGAGGCAAACGGCGAUUAAGAUUCGAUUUGAAAGGUUAUCGGUGUGCGCCAAGGAGAAGUGUUUCAAAGAGAGGCGUGAAGAAAAGAGAAAGAAAAUCAAACGUCAUCUCUCUACCCCUUCUCUUUUCUUAUGAUCGGCGCAUAUCAUUUUCGAAUCCUUGCCGCUUUACUUCUGAGGAUAAUUCUGAUUGAUUCAGAAUAAUGAAUGAUCAAAUGAAUGUAUUGCUUCAUACAUAUAUAUAUAUAUAUACACACACACAUAUAAAAGGCUCCUUGCUUAUACGAUAUUUAUAUAUGUGAUGUGAUCUCAUGAGGAAUGACACAAAUGUAAUUUGCAGGAUGUAAAAUUCGAAAAGCAACGUGCUGUCUCACUACUACUAUCAUCAACAUCAACAUCAACAUCA